UACGUAGGGGGCUAGCGUUGUCCGGAAUCAUUGGGCGUAAAGAGCGUGUAGGCGGUCCGGUAAGUCCGCUGUGAAAGUCGGGGGCUCAACCCUCGAAUGCCGGUGGAUACUGUCGGGCUAGAGUGCGGAAGAGGCGAGUGGAAUUCCUGGUGUAGCGGUGAAAUGCGCAGAUAUCAGGAGGAACACCGAUGGCGAAGGCAGGUCUCUGGGCAGUUACUGACGCUGGAGGAGCGAAAGCGUGGGGAGCGAACAGG
rnacentral:rRNA from 1 species